rnacentral:rRNA from 1 species
CCUACGGGAGGCAGCAGUGAGGAAUAUUGGUCAAUGGACGCAAGUCUGAACCAGCCAUGCCGCGUGCAGGAAGACGGCUCUAUGAGUUGUAAACUGCUUUUGUACGAGGGUAAACGCAGAUACGCGUAUCUGUCUGAAAGUAUCGUACGAAUAAGGAUCGGCUAACUCCGUGCCAGCAGCCGCGGUAAUACGGAGGAUUCAAGCGUUAUCCGGAUUUAUUGGGUUUAAAGGGUGCGUAGGCGGUCGGAUAAGUUAGAGGUGAAAUCCCGAGGCUCAACGUCGGAACUGCCUCUGAUACUGUUCGUCUAGAGAGUAGUUGCGGUAGGCGGAAUGUAUGGUGUAGCGGUGAAAUGCUUAGAGAUCAUACAGAACACCGAUUGCGAAGGCAGCUUACCAAGCUACUUCUGACGUUGAGGCACGAAAGCGUGGGGAGCAAACAGGAUUAGAUACCCCAGUAGUC